UUCACAAUAGUAGUACUGUAAUAUCGAUAUUCGGCCUGCUGUUAUCAGUACAGUCUCAUGACGAACUAGUUGUAUGGGGUUGACAACAGUUACUAUUAAAGUAAAGUACUGUUUUGAUUAACAAACGCUUGACCAGAAAAGGGCUGAAACAUCAUGAAGAUUUUGGUGUUAACUAUCGUUUUACUUUUAACAACGGGUUGUUGGAGUUCACCAAUACGAGAUUGUCGUACUAUACAUUGUGGUGUUUUAACCAGGGCACCUGUGUGUGGCAGUGACGGUGUAACAUAUACUAAUUACUGUACUUUUGAUUUAAUGAUUUGCUCAGGCCAGAUACGCGGCGUGUGGACGGUGCAUAAUGGAACGUGUAGUCAGUGAAAUGAUUCCUACGGAUUCAUAACAAGAGUAACAACAGCUCUCCACCAUAAUCUAACACAAAUAAAAAUUCAAACAUC